rnacentral:lncRNA from 1 species
UUUCAGUAAAAUUCACAAUAUUCAGUAAAUUAGUAGUCAUAAUAUACCUUCGAGAAUGUAAUUGAAGGUGAGUUUGCACUUGUUCUAGCAUUUGGUAUCAUUCUUAAUCUCAUUAAUCUUUCCCCUAAUGUUGGACAUGUUUUUCACAAAUUGAUCUAACUUAUAACAAAACAAAAGUAAGAAAAUAUAUUGAAAAAGAAUAGAUGUGUGCAAAUUGAUAUCAUGUCAUUCAUAUAGGUGAUUAAGGAAUCUUGAAUUUAAACUUCAAUAGAAGACUACAAAUCCAAAUUCCAUCCGUAUUUGAACUUAAACUUCAAUAGAAGACUUCAACUCUAAUGUGGUCUUAAGAUGGAAUUUGGAUUUGUCGUCUUUGAGGACGGACGAAUCAACCUCUUUCCCUUUUCAAAACUUAACAUUUCCAAGAUGGAGAAUUGAAGAACUAUGAAAAUUGCAUCCUAGAGUAGGUGAGCAUGUUAUAGUAGUUAUGUCACUUGUAUAAUCAAGAAAUCAAAUUAUUAUAGGAAGUAACGAAUGAAGAAGUCGCCGAUCAAUCCACAUGCAAUGAAAAUGGAGAAUAGAGAUAGAAAGAUAAAGUUUGAUAGAGCAAGAAGUGGAAGAGGCGGUGGAAGAUUUAUGGAAACGCCACGUAACCCCAUGUAAGCCGGUAGAAAAUGGAAGGAGGCAACACGCGUGCAACUCCAAAUUCAAGGGUCAUCGACUAAUCGACUAAACAGUUCCAAAAGUGAUGAAUAAAUAAAAACAAAAAAUCUAUGGAAAAUUAGAGAAAAGUAAGGAACAAACGGAACGCUGUUAAAUAUUGGGGCAAAAAGACAAAAAAGAAAACUUUAAUAUCUUAAGGACUAAAACUGUCAAAAGAAGCAAAGAAAUAUGGCAAAAGGAUGAAACAGUCAAAGAAGCUAGGAAUGAUGAACAUAUUCUUGUUUACUUAUUAGGAAUGUUCUUCAAGUGUUACAUAAAGGGGUUCGCUGUGUGUGUGUGUUUUUUUUUUUCAUUUCUUGAAGUUUAAAUGGCAACUAUGCAAGAAAUGAUAGAUUAAGGUUAU